AUGAUAGAACACCUUGUGAUUUCCUGUGAUGUCAAGACACUCUGAUGGCUGACAGUCUUGCAUCCAAACCACAAGUGUCACAGUUUGGUACUUCCUCCAUCAGACACACUUUUCCAGGCCUCUCAUCCAUUGCUUUCAGCAAAAGGCUUCAGCGUGCCGUGACCCUGAACAGGAUAAGCAAGUGUAGAAAAUGACAGCAUGGAUGGACCAACAUCUUCUGUGCUAAACCGCCGGCUGGUGAAAGUGUCUGUCCGUCUGUCUACCUGCCUGCUGGUUGUUUGACAUGCUAAAGUUACUUGGAGGCUUACAGACGUCCUUUUACCCACUGACGGCCUCUCCCCACUGACGGCCUCACCCUGAUCUUCUGCGGCUGCUGGAGCUGUGGAGGUGUCAGUGAAUUCAGAGGGAAGGAGGCGGAGUUCAUCCGGUGUAAUAAAAGUAAGCUUGGAGGAAAAUGUGACAGAUGUGGAGGCCUGUGCCAGCGAGAAAAGCAAGAGUGGGACUGUCAGACAUGUCGACUCCGGCGUAGUGAUGGAUGGAGAGUGAGGUAAGACAGAUGACAUCGUCUGUCUGAGGCCGUGUUGUCAUAGUGGAGGAUUGCCGCUUGUCUUAACCUCUCAAUAUCAGAGAGCAAACUGAAGUUUGUUUACACUGCUCCAGUGGAGUGAUUUAGAAUGAGGGGCGAGGGAGACGUGGGUGUAGAAGGUAUGCUCGCUGGAGGGCCGGAUCAGGUUUCUAAACAUUCCCUUUGAAAUCGAAUAGCAACCAUCCCAGGCGUUUUAAACUCAACCAGCCCUGUUUGGUUACAAUCAUCAAGGAGGAUUCCAAACACAAAUACAAACAGAGAAAAUGAAAUAUCAAUAUCCGUAUUGGCCUUGAAAUACCCAUAUUAGUCAGCAUCCAGCCUGGAGUCUGCCCGUAAGUAGAAAAUAAAAAAGUUUUUUUCUAUGGCUUCUUUGCAAUAUGAAGCCUUUAUUUAGCAAUAAAAGAACAAAAUACAACUGUAAUGAGAAACCACUGUGUACUUUUCUGAAUAAGAGAACCUUUUUCUAUACUUUGUACUAGUCAUUUAUAUAGUGUAGAUUGUGUGCCUGCAAAGAAAAGUAAAACCUUUUUCUGCAAAUGGAAAGGUAAGUAAAAG